AGCGAACGCUGGCGGCAGGCUUAACACAUGCAAGUCGAACGGGCACUUCGGUGCUAGUGGCCGACGGGUGGGUAACACGUGGGAACGUACCUUUCGGUUCGGAAUAAUCCAGGGAAACUUGGACUAAUACCGGAUACGCCCUUCGGGGGAAAGAUGCAUCGCCGAUAGAUCGGCCCGCGUCUGAUUAGCUGGUUGGUGAGGUAAUGGCUGACCAAGGCGACGAUCAGUAGCUGGUCUGAGAGGAUGAUCAGCCACAUUGGGACUGAGACACGGCCCAAACUGCGACGGGAGGCAGCAGUGGGGAAUAUUGGAGGAUGGGCGCAAGCCUGAUCCAGCCAUGCCGCGUGAGUGAGGAAGGCCUUAGGGUUGUAAAGCUCUUUUGUCCGGGAAGAUAGUGACGGUACCGGAAGAAUAAGCACCGGCUAACUUCGUG
rnacentral:rRNA from 1 species